rnacentral:rRNA from 1 species
CCAAUAGCGUAUAUUAAAGUUGUUGCAGUUAAAAAGCUCGUAGUUGAAUUUCGGGAUUGACACAUCGGUCGUGCCUUAAGGGGUAUGAACUGGUGUAGUCAAUUUCUCACCUUCUGGAGAACCGCGAUGCCCUUAAUUGGGUGUCGCGGGGAACCAGGACCUUUACUUUGAAAAAAUUAGAGUGUUUAAAGCAGGCAUUUUGCUUGAAUACAUUAGCAUGGAAUAAUAAAAUAGGACGGCAUGAUUCUAUUUUGUUGGUUUCUAGGAUCACCGUAAUGAUUAAUAGGGAUAGUUGGGGGCAUUAGUAUUCAAUUGUCAGAGGUGAAAUUCUUGGAUUUAUUGAAGACUAACUACUGCGACAGCAUUUGCCAAGGAUGUUUUCAUUAAUCAAGAACGAAAGUUAGGGGAUCGAAGACGAUCAGAUACCGUCGUAGUCUUAACCAUAAACUAUGCCGACUAGGAAUCAGACGAUGUUAAUUUUUUAAUGACUCGUUUGGCACCUUACG